rnacentral:rRNA from 1 species
UUGAGAGUUUGAUCCUGGCUCAGAACGAACGCUGGCGGCAGGCCUAACACAUGCAAGUCGAGCGCUCUCUUCGGAGGGAGCGGCGGACGGGUGAGUAACGCGUGGGAACGUACCCUUUUCUAAGGAAUAGCCUCGGGAAACUGAGAGUAAUACCUUAUACGCCCUUCGGGGGAAAGAUUUAUCGGAGAAGGAUCGGCCCGCGUUGGAUUAGGUAGUUGGUGGGGUAAUGGCCUACCAAGCCGACGAUCCAUAGCUGGUUUGAGAGGAUGAUCAGCCACACUGGCACUGAAACACGGGCCAGACUCCUACGGGAGGCAGCAG